AGUAACGCGUGAGGAACCUGCCUCAAAGAGGGGGACAACAGUUGGAAACGACUGCUAAUACCGCAUAAGCCCACAGCUCGGCAUCGAGCAGAGGGAAAAGGAGUGAUCCGCUUUGAGAUGGCCUCGCGUCCGAUUAGCUAGUUGGUGAGGUAAUGGCCCACCAAGGCGACGAUCGGUAGCCGACCUGAGAGGGUGACCGGCCACAUUGGGACUGAGACACGGCCAA
rnacentral:rRNA from 1 species